UUGUUCUUAAAUUGUAAACCACUCCUAAAUCUAUAAAGGAAUUGGUGUGUUGUGUUAAAAGUCUAGGUUGUCCAGGUGGGAUAGCUUAGUGGGUAGAUUGUUUUUCUACUUUGGCUUGUUGAGCAAUAGAGGUCUAUUGCUUAACGGUAAGAUUGAUAACUCUUUCUUACGUUUGGUGUAAUCGUGUUUCGCUUUUGCUUUUGAAGAUUAGUGAAAACGAUUGAAAAUCCUGUGAGACAGGUCGUGGUUUUACUCCCUUAAGCAAGGAGGUUUCCACGUAAAAUCAUUGUGUUGAUUUUACUGCAUUUAACUUUCUGGUAAUUUUCUGAAUUAAAGUAAGGGACCUGGUCCAUUACUCGUUAAGUGAAGGCAUACAUUCUAUCAA
rnacentral:lncRNA from 1 species